CCUAAACUAGAAUAUACAACUAUGUACUCGAGGGUUUUGGGGAGAAGAUGGAAAAUAAAAGUUAAGCUUGGGGAAAUGAUGGUAGUAAGCCAUGAUUGCUAAUAUUUGUGACCCAUGAAACAGCCCACUGGCUCCACGUGUAUGGCAUGCACCAGGCAAGGACUGUCAGAGUGUAGAGGAGGUAGCGAUUGUUGUUGUGGCAGUCUGCAGAGAUGAGUGCUCGGAUGGAAGACGAUAAGGCCAGGAGGGAAGUGAGGAUGGGCAGGUGAUGUCCUAUUACAGGUGCGUCAAUGGAGGACUGGAUCGCCACUGAGAGAGCUAUGUGUGGGGAGGAAGGCAGAGAGGGGACAGUUGACAUGUUUAGUGCUCUGGUGGACUUAUUUCACAACUGUUUCUGCCCUGCAAGUUUCUCUAUCUAACUGAGCUUUGUGGUCCGGAGGAAGGGCUCACGCUGAGCCCUGCAUUCAUUCUCUUUCCAGCCCUGGAUAACAGUCACUGCUGGGGGCAUGACCCUUUCAGUACAGAUACAUCUAUACCAGCAGUUCACAUCCACCUCCACCUCCACCACGGGUGUCCUUGAUUUCAAGGGUUGACUGGGUCCUCUCCUUCACUUUUGCUGCCAUAUGGACACAUUUUGGAUUUUCCAAUUGGCCACGAACCAAUGCCCCUCUUCCAUCUUCUCUGAUCUCCUGACCCCAGGUGGAAGUGACAUGGAGGUGUGAGAUGACACAGGGAAGGAGAAUCAGGUCUAAAUGCAGGAGGGAAAACCAAAUGGAAAGAGAGCCAACGGAGAGAAAGCCAAAAUGCCACACGCGUGAUUCAGAUGGGACUUCUGGUUCUUACCGGAUCCCAUGAGGCCUCUGAAGAGAGAAAGCAGGUCAAGAAAGAGAUGAGGACACAGAGACACACAGCAGAAAGACCAUGUGAAGACACAGGGAGAAGACAGCCAUGUACACGCCAAGGAGAGAAGCGUCAGAAGAAACCCACCCUGUUGAUACUUUGAUCUUCUGGCCUCUGGAACAGUACCACUUGGAGUCAGCCGAGCCCCCGAAGCUGGAGCCCUGCAGAAGAUCAGGGGGCGCCUUUCACAGAGGCCAGGAGUUGUGCCCAGUGCCCUAGGCCUGGGACCUCCGAGCCAAACCCUUAAAUAUCAUCACAAAGCCAAGGCAAAGAGUUUCCACAAUGUACUUCAGGGAACACGCUAUCUGUGUGACCUUGGACCAGUGACAGAAUGUCUCUGGGUAUCAGGUUCCUAAAAUGGGGACCUUAUGAGGAUCAGACAAAGCCACAUAUGCCAAGUACUGGGCACGGAGCCUGGCACAUGAUACACCUUCAAAAACUGUACUCAAGUGUGAGAAAACGCUACAGACAAGAUCCCUAACGGCACACUGGCUGGGAGGGUACAUACCAUUUACGGAAUUAAAAAGAAUAGUUACUGAUCUCUUUCUCAUUAUAAAAGUAAUAGUUGCUCACUGUAAAAUUUCUGGAAAAUAUAACAACAAUACAGAGGAAAAUAAAAAUCAUCUGUUAUUCACCACCCAGCAAUAAAGGCCUCUGUAUUUCUGGUAUUUUUAUUUUCUGUGUAUUUCUAUGUUUUAUUUCUUUCUUUGGAAAAAGAAGGAUACAUUGCCCUUAUAGGUUCAUACUCUGAUUUUCACUUAAAAUUGCAUUAUACACACUUCCUCAUGUAAAGAACAAUUCUUCUAAAGCAUGCUUUUUAGUUGCUGUGUGGUAUUCUAUUGCAUGAAAGCACUAUAAUUAAAAAAAUUUUAAAUUCUGGCUCAUUAUAAUUUUUAAAUCAAAUUGAUGGGCCAUCUGUGGCUCUAAGGGUCAGAUCUUAGAAGGGAGUGUUAGCAAAUUCCCUGGCGGAAGCAAAAAGACUGUUGUCAUUUGACUGGUAGGAUCCUACGAAUCUGAGCACACGUUACAAGAAAUUUCUGUAGCACCAGCCACGUUCUAGAGGCUCAUCAAAAAGGUGCUGGGGAAGCAUGGGUGUAUUUGGACCAAUUAAAUGUGGGGACCUGGGAAGAAGGUAAGGAGUAGCUGCCCAGGGUGGUAAAUUGGCUGCAAGGCACCAGUGUGAGGUCUACUGCUUAUCUGCCUGGAUACACCUCAGAAGGGAGUGAGCCAGAACCAAACGCGACGAGCCCCGGCCUGUCUGAGAACUUGAAAACACUUACAUGGCUUGCAAUGUUUGUAAAAACUAAUGGCUUUAUUGCAAAAUCCUUCACUGCUUUCUCCUGGCAGCUGUAGGGCAGGCCCUGGAGGAAGAGUCUCAAGGGAGGCCUCCAGCCUGUGGCCACGAUAGUUUCCUCAACCUGAAUCCAGCCACUGCCUGUGGGGGCCUUGCGUUCAUGGGUGUGGACAGCCAGACCCACAUGUCCAAGCUCUCUCCAAGACCCCUUCCCCACGUGGCCACCCCUUUGCUACCUCUGGCCAUUGAGGUGUGUCCAUCUGUGGUCCUCCAUGGAAGGUCGGGCAGAUAAGAGGCCUGUGCAGGCCCUAGAAGGUGGCUUGGGACCAUUUGGCCAGAGAAUUCCAACAUCCUUAGUACCUGGAAUGUGGUCUAGGAAGAGGGGCAGAGUGGCUCUGAAUGGAGGCCUGGAAGGGGACCUUUAAAGCCCACAGUGAGGGCAGGGGCCUGCGUCUGAGGGCUGUGCGGAGAAGCCAGUGUCUCAGGCAGAGGGAGCAGUGUGGUCCGGGGGUGCGAGGGCCUCAGAGGCCUAACUUCCUGCCCCAUCUGGCCUUGUCUUGGAAAUUGUGGGCAAUUUCUACUGAGCAAGUCAUUCCGUUGAAAGUUUAAGGCAAGUAGGGGCCCUGGGGGAAGGUGUUGCAGCAGGGGUUUGAAACUUCCUCAGAGAGAGUUUCCCCGGGGAGACAACUGACUCUGCUUGGCUCUGAGGGGAGCUCCUGGCCAGCCUCACCACUGCCUGCGGGGGCUUGAUUCUGCUGACUGGCCCAGGCGGGCGGAUUGUGCUCUGAGAGCAGGAGAGGCAGCAUUUAGGCCUAAAUCAAGAGAAGGGGAAGACUCGCCACCCCUAAGCCCCACACCCGAGGCUCCUGGGCUUCCCCAAAGUCUUGGCCAGGGUUAGCAGACACGACUUGGGCCUCUAGGUCCUUGUUUCUUAGAGUGUGGCCUGAGGACCGACAGCAUCGCAUCCCCUGGGAGCUUGCAGAAAUGCAGAACCUUGGAGCCCACCUCAGACUUGUGGUCUCAGAACCUGCACUUUGACAAGGUCGUCAGGUGACUCGUGUGCAUAUCGGAGUUUGAGAAGCGCUGGGUUAGUGGGCUGGGUAUCACUCUGGGUUUAGAAGAAUCUCUCAUGAAGAGUGGGCCUCCGAAGUCAGCUGGGCCUCCUGCUUGGCAGACAGCAAGAGUAAACCACCCCCUUACCCCUCCACUGCCAUUCAUCCCUAGAGCUCCCACCUCUCUCCUCCUUCUGGAGAGUUCCCAGGGUAUGUCCCAGGCAGGUGCUGGGUCUCCCCAACAGCUCUGGGAGUAUUUCAGGGCUGGGCAGGCUUCUCUUUCUUUUGCAUCUUCCUGGAGAGCAGUGGAGCUCUGUGUGCAAUCUCGAGAUCAGCAGCAUUACCUGGGAAUUUGUUAGAAAUGCAGAUUCUCAGGUCCCACCCUCUGGAGUCAGGAACUCUGGGGUGGGGCCCAGCAACCUGUGUUGGACAAGCCUCCAGGGGUUGCGAGCAAAGCUCAAGUAUGAGAACCACGAGGGCCUUGUUCCAGUAAGGUCCACAAAACCAGCACAGCAUCAUCAAGGAGCUCAUGAGAAACGCAGACUCUUGGGCCCCACCCCAGGGCUAUGAGUCGAGACCUGCAGAUUGGUGAGCACAUGCGAGUUUGAGGAGUGCUGCUCCAGGGCAAAAAAGGGGCGCUGACUCUCAAGGAAGGGACAGCUGUACAGAAGCAGAGGUGUACCACGUGGCCCAGGCGUGUGCAAUGGAAGGUGUGGCUUCCUGGAGAACAGGGGUUGGGCAGAGGAUGAAAAUGUAAGGUUAAUGCAGGAUGAGCUAAAUCCUUGGGGAGGAGUUUCGAGGAGCCAGAGAGGCACUCACCUGUCUCAGGUACAAAUGAACCAUAGGAUGCUCAGGUCAACGUGAGGUCCGAGUCUGAGCCCGGGGAAGCUCAGGUUCUGGCCGGGAUUAAGCCUCCCACUAGGAUGCGAAGCAGUAUAGACCCAAAUUUCCUUCCAAAGGCAGAGGACGCUUUUUUGGUCUCAGCCUCAGAGGGAGAAGGAAAAACAAAGGUGACACCUGACGAUUCUCAGGAAGAACCCUCUGUGAGGGUCAGACAUGGUUACUAUAUGUUGGUCAUUUUAAACUGAUUUUAAAUUUUUUAGUAAAAAUUCCUUUAGCUCAACUCACAGGAGUUGGAAGUAACGGGAACACAGGGGCCUGAGAAAAAUACAGAUGGAUUUUGUUCUCUUUAGCCCUCAAAAUACCUAUGCUUUGAAUGACUGAAGUCUUCUCCAUGGGCUACUUUUGAGAAAUUAUGAUUGGCAGAUAACGAAGAGUUUAUUUUUAAAUAGUUAGAAGUAUGGCCAAAAAGGCAGCCUGAAAAUGGUUCUAGAAGUUUUUAUGUUAAGGAUUAACUUUUGAGUAAUUCUUUUAAGACUUUAUGUAUGUCAUUUGUUUUAGUAGUUUUCUGAAUGAUGGGGUUUCAAGGUGUUGAGUUUCACCUUUUCGUUUUUAAUUCUAAGUUGAUCCUCUGAUGACUGCGGGAUAUUGGCAUUUGCUAAGGAAUUAAUAAAUAUUGUGAUUUCAACUACUGUCACCUCUGAUGAUUACUUCCUGCCGUUGGUAAAUUUCAGCUGCAGAAGAAGAAAACCUCUGCCCAGGACACCGAGAGCUUCUCAGGCUAGGGCCUCAGGCUUGGGAAGAAGGCAGGAACCGUGUAGAAUGAGGAGAAAGAUGGUGACAAAUGAGAGCGGCCUCCUGGACCGACGUGUUGUUGAAUUUCAAUCCAGAGAGUGAUUGUCACUGGGGCUCCCAGGGUCUGGAGAUCUUUAUAACCUGAUUUCGGGGGGCAGGCUUAAAGUAGGUACUUUAGAGCUUGUUAAGUUUCAUUUUAAUCAAGAAAAUCCCCUAUUUCAAAUUCCAGGACAGAAAGAAGUUUCCAGAGUACAAGGACUGUCUUCCUCUGCUGCAAUAGUGGCUUGGCCGUUGACCUAGUGCCAAGCACACUUAGGUACUUGCGGAAAAUCGAGGAAAAAAGGACAGGGCAGCAGAGAUCAGCUGGCGUGUGGCUGGGAGUAAGGCGGAGGGCAGUGUCAGGAGGGGGGACGUGAAACAUUG